rnacentral:rRNA from 1 species
CCUACGGGUGGCUGCAGUGGGGAAUAUUGGACAAUGGGGGCAACCCUGAUCCAGCCAUGCCGCGUGUGUGAAGAAGGCCCUCGGGUUGUAAAGCACUUUCAGUGAGGAAGAACGCCUGGUGGUUAAUACCCAUCAGGAAAGACAUCACUCACAGAAGAAGCACCGGCUAACUCCGUGCCAGCAGCCGCGGUAAUACGGAGGGUGCGAGCGUUAAUCGGAAUUACUGGGCGUAAAGCGCGCGUAGGUGGCUUGAUAAGCCGGUUGUGAAAGCCCCGGGCUCAACCUGGGAACGGCAUCCGGAACUGUCAAGCUAGAGUGCAGGAGAGGAAGGUAGAAUUCCCGGUGUAGCGGUGAAAAGCGUAGAGAUCGGGAGGAAUACCAGUGGCGAAGGCGGCCUUCUGGACUGACACUGACACUGAGGUGCGAAAGCGUGGGUAGCAAACAGGAUUAGAUACCCCGGUAGUC